GGCAAGAUGGCCGAGCGGUCUAAGGCGCUGGAAUCAGGUCACAUGAAAGCAAUCCAGUCCGAAAGGGCGCGGUUCGAAUCUCGCUCUUGUCA